CUUUAUGUGUUUGUAUAGAAAUUUUUUAGAUAGGUUGUGUAAUCAGAAAAUUUGUUUUCUGCAUCUCCUUCCACGAACUCAGUAUUUCCGAUGAAGGCUACCAAGUUGUCAAGCUCCUCUUCUUCACUUUCCUCCUCAGAUUCUUCCUCAUUAAUUCCAAUCAGUGACUUCCCUCGACACCUCUUUUGAUCAUUGAUACACUCAAAUUGUUUAUGACCAAUACCUUUACACCCGAAACACUUGAUGUCCCUUCUUGUUGUUGUAGGACAUUCUAUCUUGUAGUGCCUAAAUCAUUUGCACUCAUAAAAUUGAAAAUCAACUUUCUUAUCAGCCUUUAUAAUUUCUGAUGGACGUUUCUCGGUCUCUGACAUGCGUCUUGAUGAAGUUUCUUUCUUUUGACUUUGUUUAGCUCUGCGCAACACUUUGUCAAACCUCCUGACCAGUAAGCAAACUGGAUCAUUGUACUCCUCUUCAUCUUUUGAAUGUUCUUGUGACACAACAAGAGCUACUCGUUUCCCUUUCUUUUCUCACCCUAGUUCCAUCUCAUGAGCUCUGAACAUUCCAACUACUUUAUCAAAGCUUAUCUCAUCAGUGUUGAGUGAAACCAGCAUAGCUUCCUUGUAAGCAGUGUACUUGAGCGGAAGACAUCUAA
rnacentral:lncRNA from 1 species